UACCGAGGCGGAGGUAGGACUGUUUGUCUGAGCUCGGCUGAGCAGGUGACGGAUCGAUCGGAGUGGGAACGGGAACGGGAACGCCAAAGGACGGCGAUGAACGCGACAGUUAGUGUUCAGCGCUUCGGUGCCUCAGGACGGGGAAAGACGCCAGCUCCCGCCGCAUCUCUACUUCAGCCAGCAAAGGAAGGAGCGGCGCCGGCAGGUGGAGUCCAAGUAGAAUAUCUGAAGAGGAGAGAAAAAGGUGAAAGACUUCAGAGUCAAAGAAAUGUCGCGGCGAAAACAGAGAGAAUGGCUGAUGAAGCGGCUAUCAUGGAGGACCUAAGCGUGCUGCACGUGUGAAUCAUGAGCGCAGAGGUACACCGUUGUUCCCCCUGAAGUCCCGUGAGGCCGUGGGCCAGGAGAUGUCCGAAGUGAAAAAGUGAGGUCGUACGGGGUAUAUGUGAGACUCUCUGGCAUAUGUGUGUGCCUCUGCCAGCCACAGUUACACAGCACAGCAGUACCGGGUUCAUCUUUCCACGCACUGUCACUUGGCCCCCACCUGACUUCAGAAGAAGGGUUCAUGGUUCUGUGUUCACGGGCAGUAAGCUUGUAUAAUAUUGCAGCCAAGCGAUUGGUUCCAGAUAGCACACGUACAAAUAAAGCUCUGACGCAGUUUGAAUUAACAUCGCGCACAUCCGUGCUUCAGAGGUUGUCAGGUAACCGGCGGCUUUCCAAUUAAUACGCAUCUUUCGAUCAGCCCUAUAAACCGGGCUUCUGAAGCGAAAUACCACCCAGUGUCUUGGAGAGCAAGCAUGCAGCAGAGGGAAUGCACGGAGAUGUCUGUGUGCGUAAAAAAUAUUAAAUAUAUAUACAUAUUUGUUUAAUUUCAUUACGAAUGCGUAAUACGCAUAAAAUUGAAAG